AACGAACGCUGGCGGCGUGCCUAACACAUGCAAGUCGAACGGGAAAACCCGCAAGGGUGAGUACAGUGGCGCACGGGUGCGUAACACGUGGGUAAUCUGCCCAGAAGCCCGGAAUAACUCCCCGAAAGGGGUGCUAAUGCCGGAUGAGACCACGGGGACUUCGGUUCCUGGGGGAAGAGGUGGCCUCUGUAUACAAGCUAUCACUUCUGGAUGAGCCCGCGGCCCAUCAGCUAGUUGGCGGGGUAAUGGCCCACCAAGGCUACGACGGGUAGCUGGUCUGAGAGGACGAUCGGCCACAGUGGGGCUGAGACACGGUCCAGACUCCUACGGGAGGCAGCAGUGGGGAAUCUUGCGCAAUGGGCGAAAGCCUGACGCAGCAACGCCGCGUGUGUGAUGAAGGUCUUCGGAUCGUAAAGCACUGUCGGGAGGGACGAAUAAGGGCCGGGUGAACAAUCCGGUUCGACGACGGUACCUCCAGAGGAAGCACCGGCUAACUCUGUGCCAGCCGCCGCGGUAAUAC
rnacentral:rRNA from 1 species